rnacentral:rRNA from 1 species
AACGACUCUCAGCAACGGAAUAUCUUGGCUCUUGCAACGAUGAAGAACGCAGCGAAAUGCGAUACCUAGUGUGAAUUGCAGAAUUCCGCGAAUCAUCGAGUCUUUGAACGCAAGUUGCGCCCGAGGCUUGUCCCGAGGGCAUGCCUGCCUGAGCGUCACCGC